UACGUAGGGUGCAAGCGUUGUCCGGAAUUAUUGGGCGUAAAGAGCUCGUAGGCGGUCUGUCGCGUCGGCUGUGAAAUCCCGAGGCUCAACCUCGGGUCUGCAGUCGAUACGGGCAAACUAGAGUAUUGCAGGGGAGACUGGAAUUCCUGGUGUAGCGGUGAAAUGCGCAGAUAUCAGGAGGAACACCGAUGGCGAAGGCAGGUCUCUGGGCCGAUACUGACGCUGAGGAGCGAAAGCGUGGGGAGCGAACAGG
rnacentral:rRNA from 1 species